rnacentral:rRNA from 1 species
GAUGAACGCUAGCUACAGGCCUAACACAUGCAAGUCGAGGGGCAGCGGGAAGGAAGCUUGCUUUCUUCGCCGGCGACCGGCGCACGGGUGCGUAACGCGUAUCGAACCUACCCUUUACUCGGGAACAGCCUUGCGAAAGCAAGAUUAAUGCCCGAUGUUCCGCGUUUGCCGCAUGGCAAAUUCGGCAAAGAUUUAUUGGUAAAGGAUGGCGAUGCGUCCCAUUAGUUAGUUGGCGGGUAACGGCCCACCAAGACGACGAUGGGUAGGGGUUCUGAGAGGAAGGUCCCCCACAUUGGAACUGAGACACGGUCCAAACUCCUACGGGAGGCAGCAGUGAGGAAUAUUGGUCAAUGGGCGAAGCCUGAACCAGCCAAGUAGCGUGCAGGAAGACAGCCCUAUGGGUUGUAAACUGCUUUCAGUCGGGAAUAAAAGUGGGUCUCGUGAGACUUUUUGCAUGUACCUUAUGAAUAAGGACCGGCUAAUUCCGUG